rnacentral:rRNA from 1 species
CUACAGGGGUAUCUAAUCCUGUUCGCUCCCCAUGCUUUCGCUUCUCAGCGUCAGUUACAGCCCAGAGACCUGCCUUCGCCAUCGGUGUUCCUCCUGAUAUCUGUGCAUUCCACCGCUACACCAGGAAUUCCAGUCUCCCCUACUGCACUCUAGUUAGCCCGUACCCACUGCAAAACCGGAGUUAAGCCCCGGCCUUUCACAGCAGACGCGACCAACCGCCUACAAGCUCUUUACGCCCAAUAAUUCCGGACAACGCUCGCGCCCUACGUAUUACCGCGGCUGCUGGCAC